CACGGAUCCAGAGUUUGAUCCUGGCUCAGGAUGAACGCUAGCUACAGGCUUAACACAUGCAAGUCGAGGGGCAGCACAGUGUAGCAAUACACGGGUGGCGACCGGCGCACGGGUGCGUAACGCGUAUCCAACCUUCCCGUUACUCUUGGAUAGCCUUCCGAAAGGGAGAUUAAUACAGGAUGGUGUUUGAAUUCCGCAUGUUAUUCAAACUAAAGAUUUAUCGGUAACGGAUGGGGAUGCGUGACAUUAGGUAGAUGGCGGGGUAACGGCCCACCAUGCCCACGAUGUCUAGGGGUUCUGAGAGGAAGGUCCCCCACACUGGAACUGAGACACGGUCCAGACUCCUACGGGAGGCAGCAGUGAGGAAUAUUGGUCAAUGGCCGGAAGGCUGAACCAGCCAAGUAGCGUGAAGGAUGAAGGUUCUAUGGAUUGUAAACUUCUUUUAUACGGGAAUAAAACCACCUACGUGUAGGUGCUUGUAUGUACCGUAUGAAUAAGCAUCGGCUAACUCCGUGCCAGCAGCCGCGGUAAUACGGAGGAUGCGAGCGUUAUCCGGAUUUAUUGGGUUUAAAGGGAGCGUAGACGGGGUGUUAAGUCAGUUGUGAAAGGCUGCGGCUCAACCGCAGCACUGCAGUUGAUACUGGCGUCCUUGAGUGCGGUUGAGGUAUGUGGAAUUCGUGGUGUAGCGGUGAAAUGCUCAGAUAUCACGAAGAACUCCGAUUGCGAAGGCAGCAUACUAAGCCGCUACUGACGUUGAGGCUCGAAAGUGUGGGUAUCAAACAGGAUUAGAUACCCUGGUAGUCCACACGGUAAACGAUGAAUACUCGCUGUUGGCGAUACAAUGUCAGCGGCCAAGCGAAAAGCAUUUAAGUAUUCCACCUGGGGAGUACGCCGGCAACGGUGAAACUCAAAGGAAUUGACGGGGGCCCGCACAAGCGGAGGAACAUGUGGUUUAAUUCGAUGAUACGCGAGGAACCUUACCCGGGCUUAAAUUGCACUGGACAGGCUCAGAGAUGGGCUCUUCUUCGGACCAGUGUGAAGGUGCUGCAUGGUUGUCGUCAGCUCGUGCCGUGAGGUGUCGGCUUAAGUGCCAUAACGAGCGCAACCCUUGCCGUUAGUUACUAACAGGUUAUGCUGAGGACUCUAGCGGGACUGCCAUCGUAAGAUGUGAGGAAGGUGGGGAUGACGUCAAAUCAUCAUGCCCCUUAUGCUUAGGGCUACACACGUGCUACAAUGGGUGGUACAGAGGGCAGCCAAGUCGUGAGGCGGAGCUAAUCCCUUAAAGCCAUUCUCAGUUCGGAUUGUAGGCUGAAACUCGCCUACAUGAAGCUGGAGUUACUAGUAAUCGCAGAUCAGAAUGCUGCGGUGAAUGCGUUCCCGGGUCUUGUACACACCGCCCGUCACACCAUGGGAGUUGGGGGCGCCCGGAGCCGGUUAGCUAACCUUUUGGAAGCGGCCGUCGAAGGUGAAACCAAUAACUGGGGUGAAGUCGUAA
rnacentral:rRNA from 1 species